rnacentral:rRNA from 1 species
GACGAACGCUGGCGGCGUGCUUAACACAUGCAAGUCGAACGGAAAGGCCAUGCGCUUGUGCGUUUCUCGUUUGGCGAACAGGUGAGUAAAACGUGUGUAACCUGCCCCUAACUUUGUGAUAUAUUCACGGAACAGGGGCUCUAAUCCCAGAUGAGAUCCUGCUGCAUGUUGGGGGACGGAAAAUUUCGGCGGUUCGGGAUGGACUCGCUGCUUAUCAGCUUGUUGGUGGGGUAGUGGCUGACCAAGGCUACGACGGGUAGGCGGCCUGAGAGGGUGAACGGCCACAUUGGGACUGAGGUACGGCGCAGACGCCAACGGGCGGCAGCAGUGGAGAAUAUUGCGCAGUGGGGGGAAGUGUGAUGAAGCGACGCCGCGUGCGGGAUGACGGCCUUCGGGUUGAGAACCGCUUUCGCAUGUGCCGAAGAGUUAGUGACGGUAAUGGGUAAAGAAGCACCGGCUAACUACGUG